AGAAUGAGUAACUUGAGAAGAAGCAAUGGUAGUCGAUUUAGGCUGAACUUGGUUCUGAUUAAAGUAAUACAAUCCUCCAUUGAGCUUACCCAAACCAAUCAUCUUCAAGUUCUUCUUUUCCUGUAUCAAACAUUUAUCAUUAUCAAAAGACACAAGGAAAUGGUUAUCAAGGCAAAGUUUAGGAACGGAGAUCAAAUUCAAAUUGAAGUCAGGCACCAAAAGCACAUGUGAAAUGGUGAAAAUCGAAGAAAAUUUCACCGAACCAGAAUAAUUUGAAAUGGAAACCUGUCCAUUAGGCAACUUAACACUGAUUGGUUUGAUAGAUUUGUAGGAGCUGAAGUAAUCGAAAGAAGAGAAAAUAUGAUCACUUGCACCUGAGUCAAUAAUCCAUUGACCAGGACUACUGUGCAAAGUGCAAACUAAGUUACCUGAAGUAACAUGUCCACUAGCAAUAUUGACUUGAGUGGAGGAAGAUGCUUGAUUACCAGCAUUAUAAGAAGAACCUUGAU
rnacentral:lncRNA from 1 species